CAAGUACUCCCUCCAUUCGGAAUUACUUGUCAUCAAAAUGGAUGUGUCUAGAACUAAAAUACAUCUAGAUACAUCCAUUUCAAUGACAAGUAUUUUCGGACGGAGGGAGUACAAG
rnacentral:pre_miRNA from 1 species